AUGCAUGUCUAAGCAUAAACCGAAUAUGGUAAAGCCGCGAAUGGCUCAUUACAACAGCCAUAGUUUAUUGGAUCUUAGAGUCCUACUUGGAUACCUGUGGUAAUUCUAGAGCUAAUACACGCAAUCAAGCCCCAACCUGACGGGCGGGGCGCAUUUAUUAGAACAAAACCAAUUGGCUUCGGCCAUUCAUUGGUGAAUCUGAAUAACUACGCUGAUCGCACGGUCUCGCACCGGCGACGUAUCCUUCAAGUGUCUGCCUUAUCAACUUUCGAUGGUAGUUUACAUGACUACCAUGGUUGUAACGGGUAACGGAGAAUAAGGGUUCGACUCCGGAGAGGGAGCCUGAGAAACGGCUACCACAUCCAAGGAAGGCAGCAGGCGCGCAAAUUACCCACUCUCAGAACGAGGAGGUAGUGACGAAAAAUAACGAGACAGUUCUCUAUGAGGUCUGUCAUCGGAAUGGGUACAAUCUAAACCCUUUAACGAGGAUCUAUUGGAGGGCAAGUCUGGUGCCAGCAGCCGCGGUAAUUCCAGCUCCAAUAGCGUAUAUUAAAGUUGUUGCGGUUAAAAAGCUCGUAGUUGGAUCUGCGGUCACAGACGCCGGUUUCCUUCACGGAAUACUGGUUGUCUUGACCUACCUUACUGGUUUUCCCUUGUUGCUCUUUACUGAGUGACCUGGGUGGCUAGUACGUUUACUUUGAAAAAAUUAGAGUGCUUAACGCAGGCUUUUGCCUGAAUAGUGGUGCAUGGAAUAAUGGAAUAGGACCUCGGUUCUAUUUUGUUGGUUUUCGGAGCACGAGGUAAUGAUUAAGAGGGACAGACGGGGGCAUUCGUACUGCUGCGUUAGAGGUGAAAUUCUUGGAUCGCAGCAUGACGAACAACUGCGAAAGCAUUUGCCAAGAAUGUUUUCAUUAAUCAAGAACGAUAGUUAGAG
rnacentral:rRNA from 1 species